AUCCAGCUGAAGAGUCCCAAAUAGGACUAAAACGCGCGUCCUGAAU
rnacentral:hammerhead_ribozyme from 1 species